ACAAAAACAGGGAAACUGGGUGAAAAUAUUUACCACUUUGUUGUUUCAAAUGGAUCUUCGAAAGCAGGGUUUCUCGGAGAAGCUUCGAUCGAUUUUGCCGAUUUCGCAACAGAAAUCGAACCUGUUACGGUCUCUCUGCCCCUUAAGUUUGCAAAUUCCGGUGCCAUUUUACAUGUGACAAUUCGUAAAAUUGAGGGAGCAGAAGAUCAGAGAUACUUUGGAGAUGGUGAAGAUUUGACCAUUUCCAGAGUGGGAAGC